rnacentral:siRNA from 1 species
GGAUCAGCGGAUGUUGCUUAUA